rnacentral:rRNA from 1 species
UACGUAGGUGGCAAGCGUUGUCCGGAAUUAUUGGGCGUAAAGGAUGCGUAGGCGGAUAUAUAAGUCAGAUGUGAAAUACCCGAGCUUAACUUGGGUGCUGCAUUUGAAACUGUAUGUCUAGAGUGCGGGAGAGGAAAGUGGAAUUCCUAGUGUAGCGGUGAAAUGCGUAGAGAUUAGGAAGAACACCAGUGGCGAAGGCGACUUUCUGGACCGUAACUGACGCUGAGGCAUGAAAGCGUGGGUAGCAAACAGG